AUUAGACCCGAACCCGAGUGAUCUAGCCAUGAGCAGGUUGAAGGUGAGGUAACACUCACUGGAGGACCGAACGGGUGCCUGUUGAAAAAGGCUCCGAUGACUUGUGGUUAGGGGUGAAAGGCCAAUCAAACUCGGAAAUAGCUGGUUCUCCGCGAAAUCUAUUUAGGUAGAGCGUCGACCGAAUACCCUCGGGGGUAGAGCACUGGAUGGGUGAUGGGGGCCCACAGCCUUACUGAGCCUAACCAAACUCCGAAUACCGAGGAGCACUAUCUGGCAGACAGACGGCGGGUGCUAACGUCCGUCGUCGAGAGGGAAACAACCCUGACCUCCAGCUAAGGCCCCUAAUUCACGGCUAAGUGGGAAAGCAGGUGGGACGACCAAAACAACCAGGAGGUUGGCUUAGAAGCAGCCAUCCUU
rnacentral:rRNA from 1 species